UACGAAGGGGGCUAGCGUUGCUCGGAAUCACUGGGCGUAAAGCGCACGUAGGCGGCUUUUUAAGUCAGGGGUGAAAUCCUGGAGCUCAACUCCAGAACUGCCUUUGAUACUGAAGAUCUUGAGUUCGGGAGAGGUGAGUGGAAUUCCGGGUGUAGUGGUGAAAUGCGUAGAGAUCCGGAGGAACACCAGAGGCGAAGGCGGCUCGCUGGGCUUUGACUGACGCUGAGGCGCGAAAGCGUGGGGAGCGAACCGG
rnacentral:rRNA from 1 species